rnacentral:SRP_RNA from 1 species
GCUUUGCAAACCCCGUCAGGUCCGGAAGGAAGCAGCGGUAGCAAAAUCCCUUGGGUGCUGUGAGUUCCCCCAGCAUU